AUUGAACGCUGGCGGCAGGCCUAACACAUGCAAGUCGAGCGAGCGGCGGACGGGUGAGUAAUGUAUGGGGACUGCCCGAUAGAGGGGGAUAACUCCUGGAACCGGUGGCUAAUACCGCAUACUAUCGGAUAACCCAUAUGGGUUUAGCUAGUGGGUGGGGUAAAGGCUCACCUAGGCGACGAUCUCUAGCCGGUCUGCGAGGAUGAUCGGCCACACGGGAACGGAGACACGGCCCAGACGCCUACGGAGGCAGCGGUGGGGAAUAUUGCACAAUCGGCGCAAGCCUGAUGCGGCCAGGCCGCGUGGAUGAAGAAGGCCUUGGGGUUGUAAAGUACUGUCAGCAGGGAGGCGGUACCCACAGAAGAAGCACCGGCUAACUCCGUGCCAGCAGCCGCGGUAAUUC
rnacentral:rRNA from 1 species